AUGCAAAACCUUUAUAAAUUCACCUGUCUCGCUCUGGCACGAUCUGUAGUGCUUCGGAGAGCUCACCAGGGGGGACCGGGUCCCUCUGCCUGGAUUUCCCCCCUUUUCUCCCCCUCACACACACAACCCGUAUGCGGGCAGUGCCCAGACUAUGUGCAGGGUGAUGGGGGGGGGCUCUCCAGAAGCAGGAGGCUGUGGGCAGUGGCUGUGCCCCGCAUGGAGCGAGGCAGGCUGCUGGCAGGCUUGGCGAGGAGGCAGCAGGGUGGGGAAGCCUCUGGCCAGCCCCGGUGCCUGGGAGCUGCUCCCAGCCCUGGGAGCCUCUCCCCAGUCCUGGUGUCCUCCUCCUGCCCCAUCUACAUCCUCGUACACCACCAGGCUCUCCCCAGCCCCAAGCAGAGCCUCCUUGCUGCCAAAAGCUGUGGAUGCCUCGGCCUGCAGAGCCCACUGAGCCCCCCGGAGCACUGCUGGCCCCAUAGGGGUGGGGAUGGGGGAUUGGAGGGGGGGCAAUAUUUUGUUUUCCCCAUGACAACUGCCGACUGGGCCAAGGUGGGAGGGCAGGAGAGCCCUGGGCACCGCUGCCCUGCUUCCUGUGCCGCUCUGCCUCCCCGCCUUGCAGCCGAUCGCCGUUUUAAGGGGAAAAAAACAUGUUUUGAUUCAAGUCACGUGCCGAGCGCCGCGCUCCCCCCCGGUCGCAGUGGUUUGUGCAGGCGCCUCGCUGCUUUGUUUGGCGGCUGCAAACUUGGGGUCAGGACUGGGGGGGGAUGCAGUGCCACGUGCUGGGGAGCGGGGCCGUGCAGCCGCCCCUUGUGCAGCCCCCGCUGCCUCUCUGCCGGGGCACAGCGGGGUUCAGCCACCAGCAGCAGCUCCGUGCCCCGAGCGCUUCGGGCUGAAGGCAAACCCUGCCCAGUGUUUGCUUUUCUCGCUUCGCUUCAGCUUCACCAAAGAAAAAAAAAAAAAAAGUGGGUGGGCCAGCUUGAAACAACCCCAAAAAGCUGUGACGUUUCACAAAGCAUAUGCUGCCUUGGAGGGGAAGCGGGCUCAUCUGCGCUCCGGAGCGCCGUGUUUGUUUUCCUGGCGAGGACACCGCCAGGCCCGCCGGUGAGCUCGCGCGGAGCUCGGUGUGAGCGCGCAGAAGUGUGCGAGCUGCACCAAGCGAGGCAGCAAAACAAAGAGCAUAUGUGA
rnacentral:lncRNA from 1 species